AGUGGUGAGAGACGCGGCGCGUGAAAGUUCGAAUUCGUGAUUUUGGUUUGUUUGGUUUUUAUUCCAAAUAAAUAAUCUGUAAAGUUAGUUUGUUAUUACGUAACUUAGUUUACAACGCAGAAUGUAUUAGCUAAAAUAUUGAUUUCUAUCGUUCCGAAUAUGAUCGUAACUAGUGUGCAUUUGAAGCUGUUAACAGGCAAGCUGUCGAUGACUUCCGAAUGGCGUUCAGAUAACUCCGACGGAAGUUCCGGCAUAUUGGAUCAGACCCUCUAAAAAUAUAAAAGACGAUUUGUUCCACAAAGUCAGUGAUAUUAAUUAUGGACGACAAAUUAAACGGUUCAACGAUUCAAUUUCGGAAGGACCUACACGGGCUGAUUUUCUCAAGCUACUUCAAGAGUUGAAACAAGAGGGAUCAAAUGCUGCUGUCCUGCGAAAGUUUUGUGACCAUCAUGGGUUUAUGUGUAAUCAAUGCGAAGAAAAUCAUGUACCUGAUAACAUAUUCUUAAAUCAGAACAUCCUCAUUCAAGGAAUAUUUAAACCACAUUACGAGGGUGCAAGCUUGGAGGAAUUGAGGGAAAUCGGAAGGAGAAUAGUAUUCAGCCCAUCGGAAAUUGAAUCUGUUGAGAAAUUAACACGUGACCAAAGUUUCAACCCGUUCUGGCAUUAUGUACGAAUCGGUCGAGUGACUGCGUCUAUCAUGAAAGAGUUUGUAAAUGCUUCUAUCGAAUCUCCUCCUCCAAAACUUUCCUUAUUAAAAAAAAUAUGUCAUCCGUACUUGUGCAACUUCGACACGCCUGCGCUUUCCUACGGUCGCAGCAAUGAGACUAAAGGAAAAGAAUACGUAAAAAAUGUAUACAAGGAUCAUAUUAAUGUAGAAUUCCUAGAAUGUGGCAUAUUCCUGAACAGCGAAAAACCGUUUGUAGCAGCAUCGCCAGACAUGAUUGUAACAUGUGACUGCUGCGGACGAAUAACUGUUGAAAUCAAGUGUCCGUUUAGGCUAAGAAAAAGUGAUUUAAAUAAGCAGCUUUCCUUAAUGGAACUAGCUGGUACAAGAGACCCGUUUAUAAAAGUAGAAGGUGAUGCAUUCGUACUAGUUAGAUCGCAUAGUUACUACUAUCAGUUACAAACGCAAAUAUUUGUAACAAAUUCUGAUUUCGGUUUGUUUGUUGUGUGGAGUAGAAACGAGCAAGUUCACAUCAUUGUACAAAAGGAUGUUUCAGUUUGGUUGCGAUGUAUGUUAAAAUGUGAACAAUAUUUUCGUAGAAUCAUUUGUCCAGAGCUUCUUGGAAACUACUACUCCAAUUCCAUUUCAUUGUUACAUUGGAGAACGCGUUAACUUGUCCAUCUUGACUCAAGCAUGUAAUAAAACACAUUUUAUUUCAAUAAAUAAUUCAUUUUAUUGAAAGGUCCUCUUAUAACAAA